rnacentral:sRNA from 1 species
CAACAUCCCCCCCCCCCAAGGGGGGCACAAAUACAGCACAGCCCUCGAUCUGAGAUCUGCCUGAGUGACUGAGGGAGGUCUCUCUGCGACUGUUGGAGGCGGGAAAAACCAGGCAGGGACAUGGUUUCUGCAUCUAGACGCAGCCUGAUUCCCACCAGGAGCUCAGGACUAGACCCUGCGUCCCAGCAUCUACUCGACUCCAUCUUAAGAGUUUCGGCGUGUUGCUGGCUCCAGAACCCAACUUUUUGAUAAGGAUACCGUUGUGGGGGCUGAGGAUGUAGCUCUAGUGUGAGGUUUGGUCUGCUGCUAUGUAUUGUAAUGCUGAACACUGGCCCCCACCAAGCUCAGUUGCCUCAAGGAUCAGAGAAUCUUCCUGCUGACUCAGGUGACACUGUGUGACCUGCCCCCCAAGUUAUCCCUGAUUGGUACCCUGGCUGUAUCAGAGCAGAGUAAGCAGAAGAUGGAGAACUCGGCUCCUCCAGCACCACGCCUGCCUAGAUGCUGCCUGGAUGCUGCCUGGAUGCUGCCCUGCUCCCGCCUUGAUGAUAAUGGACUGACCCUCUGAACCUGGCAGGUGUGAAACCCAGUCUGUGAACAACCCUUGAGGUCCUCAUCUUGGCUUUGCUGGCAUCCAGCUCUUGCAGCUGCUCAUCCAGUUCCAUGAACAUCUCACGCUCCAGAUCCUCCCGACCUAACUAAGCGCUCUGCCCCCUCUCCAGAUGAGUCAUCUUCAAAGACUGUGAUCCAUAUUGGCUGUUCCUGAAAAACUCUUUGGCUGAGUGCUUUCCACAUAGCUCAGGUUGGUCUCAAAGUCAUGGCUAUCCUCCUGCCUCAGAUCCUCCAGUGACUGGAUUACAGGCAUGUGCCACAUGGCACAACUUGGCCUGUUGUUUUGUUUUGUUUUGUUUUUGGUACUGGGGAUUGAACCCAGACCUUUUUUGCACAUGCUAGCCAAGCAAUCUAUUCUUUUCUUUUUUAUGGAUGUGUGUGGUUACCUACGUAAGGAUGUGUGUGCAGGAGCGACAGAGGUCAGAAGAGAGCACCACAUCCCCUGGAACUGGAGUUACAGGCAGAUGCAAGCUGCCAUCUUGGUGCUGGAAAUAAAUAUGCAACUUCUAUAAGAGCAGUACGUACUCUUAAUGGCUGAGCUCUCUUGAGUCCCCUGCUUGGAUUUUUUAAAAACUAAUUUUAUUAGAGAAUACAUUACUUCCUUUCAGACCUAUGAGGAUAUGCCUUUUGCAAAGCAUUUCCUUUAUCCCUCUCCAGAAGAGAAAAGGAAACAGAAGUGGGGGCUGAUACAGAACUCCAACUCCUAUUAAUGGAUGCAAAGUACCCAGGAUGUCAUAAAAUGAGCCCAGUCUUCGGCCAUAAACAAAAGGCAGUCUUGUGUGUUGGCUGCUGCAUUGCCCUGUCAGCCUACAGAAGGAAAAGGAAGGCUGGCCGUUCCGCAGGACACAGCACUAAAAGCACCCUGGUUCAAGAUGAGUGGGAAGCCAUCCCAGUAAACACAUCAUGAAUUUAAAACAAAACAGCAUUACUUCAAAUGAGAUAAUUUUUAAAUAUAUAUUUUGAUGAAUUUGA